CAUUAAAAUCUCUCUCACUCUCUCAGACAGAACUCUGGAGAAAAAAACUCUUCCGCCAUUGUAACUAGAGGAAGCUAGGGUUUGAAUCGAUUGAUGAUGCUUUUGCUGUUAGGGUUUGAUAAUUAGGGUUUGGAUUAUUCUCCAACGAGAAGGCUCGAUUAAUUCUGCUUUUCUCUUCUAUCUUCUUCUCCUCUUUCCUCGUAUUCUUCAUCUUCGUCUUGCCUCUGCAUGAACAGAGAAUUAUUUAAAGAGAGAUUAAUAAGUCAGAAAGGUUGAUGAGAUUGUGAGUCUGAUUUGGUUAGGGUUAUUGUGGAUUGAAGAAAGGAAAAUCAUUAAGAAAUUAGGGUUCUGUUGCGUUGAUGAUAGAUUGAUUAAGAAACUGAGCUAUUAGGUUUUAGGUCUGAGAUUAGGAAGUUAAUUGAGAAAGUAAGGUUUACAUGAGUUGCGAUUUGAAUAGGGUUUGUUUGAAUUGAGGUUUAAAUUUUUUUAAUUAUUGGAUUCGAACUCCAUGGAUUAGGGUUCUUGAUAGAACCGUGAUUUAGGGUUCAUGGGUUUGAAUUUUACAUGAAGGAGAUGGAAUUGAUGGUGAGAAAUUAAAAGAGGUAGAUUUCUGAAUCAAAUCAAGUAAAGAGGAAUCUGAAUCAAUUGGUGAACUUAUAUUGAGAUGGAGUUGAGUUCUAUAGUGGUAGUUUUGUAUCAAGGAUUGUGUGUAUUGGUGGUGGUGGAUAUGAAAGUUACAGGUGGUGAACUAUUGUUGGUAUUGUAGAUUUCAGAUGGAAGGAAUAUGCAGAGUCGGGGUGAUGUUGUUGGUUUUACAACUCCAGCAGAGACUAAAAAGAGAAGAUUCUGUGUGUUGCCUGAGUUGAGGUAGAUGAAUGGUGUAGGAAAUAUGUGGUUUUGAAAUGGUUAAGCUGAUAAUGGUGCUGGAGCUAGCCAUGAUUGGGUUCUGUUGGUGCUUGUGGUCCUGUAAUGCCAAGAAUAUAGAUAGAAGUGUUGAACUACAGAUGAACUUGGUGAUAGCAACAAAAUGAUUGUGACUGGUCUUUAUUUUAGAUUUGUUUGUUUUCUAUAUAUUUUGUAUAUGUAUGUGUACAUGAUAUGUGUUCUUAUACAGGUUUUGCAGGAUUUGCAAAUAUUAUGCAUGGGGACUGCACCAAAUAUCUAAGGCUGUGAGAUUUUUGGACAAUGACUGCAAGCUAGUAAGUGAUUUGUAAAGUUAUGGAGCUACUACAGAUGGGACAACAUCAACAUCAAUUACAGCAGCUUCAGCCAAUUUCAGAAAGAAGUUAAGGUAAUGAGUGGUACAAAUCCAGGUUACUGGGUUUAUGGAAACAAUAAUGGCAAGAGCAGUGGAAGUCAGUUUGUGGAUCAGCAGAAUGCAUGUUGUGUGCCUCACCAGUUUGUGGAUGGUAAAGAAGAGAAGAUUAGGAAGAAAAGGGUCAGUUUCUUAGACCCUUUGAGCAUAAUCUGAUACAUGCUCUACUUGUUUGUAUUUUCAUUUUCAUGUAUGUGCAUUAUACGAAGAAGCAGAUCAGAUUACACUUGAUAUUCAAAAGAAGAUGAACAUUGAGCAAGAGAAGGGUAAGGAGAUGGAAAAUUAUUCAUGCUAUGUGAAAGUUUGAUUUCAUAGCAGAUGGGUUUUUUGUUUUGAGUUUCGUAUGCUAUGUGUUUGCCACCCGCAUAAGAAGAAGAUAUCGUACCUGAAGAAAGAACUGUUUGGAGAGGGGAGAUACGAGGAGACUAUGAGAUUGAUUGAUCUGAUGGAGAAGAGGGUGGUUAUGGCAGAGUCGAUUCUGGAGGCUUAGCGAACUAUAGAGUUUUUGGGUAUUGGGAAUUCUGCUAAGUAUAGCUACUCUCCAUCCUUCAGGGGCGUAACGUUGUAUUAGAACAAAGCUUUGGUGCAGUUAAAGUGACUAAAGAUGGUGUCAUUGUUGCUGAAAGCAUUGAGUUUAAGGACAAAGUUAUUGACAUUGUUGCCAUCCUUGUAAAGCAAGCAGCAAAUGCCACCAAUAAUGUAGCUGUUGAUGGCGACCAACAAGAACUGGUUUUCUCAAGUUCAGUACAUCAGCCGAGGCUAAUGCCGCGAUGGAAGCUCCACACAUUAAUGGUGACUCGGAUUCUUCUGAAAAGCAGAAAACUAACUGUACUAUUUGUCUAACCUCACUGAUGCAGUCUAACCUCACUUAUGCAUUGUAUAUAGGAUCUCGAUUCGAAUAAAGGAAAACAAGUUAGAACUGCACUAUUUAAAUAUGCAACCAUAAAGAGUUGAAUACAGAUUUUGUUAGCCUCUGAAUUCCAUCUCAUUCUGCUUUUUGGUGGUUUUAUGGGAAAGAUUAUUGGGAACUAAGAAGCAUUCAAGUUGCACCUUCCAAGAUUUAGGAUUACUUAUGGCUUGCCGAGGAUGGCGUGAAAUUACAGGUUAGGAAUAGCUUUUGCUCUUUCUUGCUUCAUGUAUACCAAUAAUUGAACAUCUUGCUCCUGAAACACUAUUGUAGUGUAUCAACCCACCUAUUGAUUUGGUAUUAGUAAUAGUACUCUACCUGACAAUGUAAUAUUUAUCUUAAUGUUCACACAAAGAUGCUAAAAAGAUUAUGUUUUUGUUGUGUACCAA